GCACUGUCAUGAGGGUCAGAAGGCUAGCACUCCCCAUGAGAAGGAUGGAAGAGGUCCUAGUGGCUUUACAACACAUAUACGUUAAAGGAAUAUAUUUAAUUUGAUAAAUGACUUGCCUAUCA
rnacentral:ncRNA from 1 species